UGGGGAAUUUUGGACAAUGGGCGAAAGCCUGAUCCAGCAAUGCCGCGUGUGUGAAGAAGGCCUUCGGGUUGUAAAGCACUUUUGUCCGGAAAGAAAUCCUUGGCUCUAAUACAGUCGGGAGAUGACGGUACCGGAAGAAUAAGCACCGGCUAACUACGUGCCAGCAGCCGCGGUAAUACGUAGGGUGCAAGCGUUAAUCGGAAUUACUGGGCGUAAAGCGUGCGCAGGCGGUUUGCUAAGACCGAUGUGAAAUCCCCGGGCUCAACCUGGGAACUGCAUUGGUGACUGGCAGGCUAGAGUAUGGCAGAGGGGGGUAGAAUUCCACGUGUAGCAGUGAAAUGCGUAGAGAUGUGGAGGAAUACCGAUGGCGAAGGCAGCCCCCUGGGCCAAAUACUGACGCUCAUGCACGAAAGCGUGGGGAGCAAAACAGGAUUAGAUACCCUGGUAGUCCACGCCCUAAAACGAUGUCAACUAGUUGUUGGGGAUUCAUUUCCUUAGUAACGUAGCUAACGCGUGAAGUUGACCGCCUGGGGGAGUACGGUCGCAAGAUUAAAACUCAAAUGAAUUGACGGGGUCAUAGCUGUUUCCU
rnacentral:rRNA from 1 species